CACACAGGCAUGCAGACACAGAAACAUGGAUCCCAAUACCACACAGACACAUCGCAUUGGCAAGCAAGCAAUGGCCACAGUACGAGCAGCACUGCAGUAGAACCAUAGAAACAAAUACACUGCAUUAUUAACAAGAGAUGGAGAAACAAGUGAAAAAGAACAAGUUCCGGUGCUGGUGGAAACUGUAAACUCAAUCAAGGAGACAGGCACAUUAGAAAAAAGAAGGCCUGAAGACUUUUUUUCCGAGGAAAUCGUUUUGGAUCCUAUUAUUAAGCAAAAUUGGGCAAAUCUGAAUCAAGUCCCUCUGCUGCGAUGACUUUGCCUAGGGUGUGAUGCAGCUCUCUGC